AUGAAAAUGUACUACCAUUGGUCAAUUUAUACGUAUACGGAACAGAGUUAGGUAUUGUUUAUUUGAAAGAAUAAAAUGAUGCUUUAUUUGAAACAAUUCUUUAUUCUCGUUAUCUAUAAAUUAGUUUCGAAAAUUGUGCAGCACAUAGCAAUUAGCAAAUUCGUAUUGUUACAACAAUACGAAUGUCCCAAGUCACACCACAAGAAAGUUGCUGCAAAUGGUGAUCCGCCUUAUCUUUGACGACCUAUCUAAACACGUAGAGACCUUAUUGUGCCAUUUAUUUCGUUCAUAUGUUCAUUAUGAUACACCUUUAAACGAGAGGAGCUGCCUUGGAAAAAUGAAACACAUGAAACUAAAGAAAAAUUUCUUUACAAGUUUUGUGCAAACUCGUGAACGUAACGCCUUAAAGACGACCACAAAAUGGUGGCCGUCUCUCUUCGGUAUUAGGUUCACGAAUUUUACAAAUUCUCUUAUGCUCAUCCAGAACAUAAUGAAACCGAAUUACACAAUGCGGAUGAUGUAGAACACUCAAUCCGAGAACUUAUGAAAUGAAAUAAUGACACUCGGUCAAGCUUGAACAUAAUACGAGAAGAUUGAGCGACUUUCUGAUAACAAAAGUGUGAUAAGACAUCCUACCUAACACGCGUUCAAGCUAGACUGAAAUAGCAUCGUUAAGCAGUUGCUUAUAUGUUUGCAUUUUGUUAACGACCGUGCUGCCACUGGGGCUGACUCUAGAUUACAAUUCAAUGUAAUUGGUCAUUACAGCUAUGAAGAAAAGAAGAAAUUGUUUCCAUUUGUAUAGAAAAUGGCGUCUUAUCUGAACAGCGAUGGAAAUGACAUCUGUUGGAAGCGUACCUAAUGCACGAGAAGACCGAAGACACUCUUUUAUUGUUCUAGAAAGUUCUGUACAACGGUUAUGAGUCAUGAGAUUUACUUACUUUAUGUUUAGAAACUUUAGUUUCAGAAACUGUAAAAUGAUGUUUACGCUAAACUGAGCAGGAAUGCCAGUUAUGAGAAUUGAGUUUCUGGGAAUUAUCGAAACAUUAUAAAUGAACUACUUUUAUUUGCAAAUUUUAAUUACAUUCGCAUGCGUAUCAUUGGAAUCAUCAGUAUUCAGAAUAUUUGAUAUUCUAUUAACGACAUACGUAUAAAAAGAUAGAAUCUGCACGUUUCUUCUCAUAACACCUGGGAAAUAAAUAUUCAA